GGCCUAACACAUGCAAGUCGAGCGGCAGCGGGAAAGUAGCUUGCUACUUUUGCCGGCGAGCGGCGGACGGGUGAGUAAUGCCUGGGAAAUUGCCCAGUCGAGGGGGAUAACAGUUGGAAACGACUGCUAAUACCGCAUACGCCCUACGGGGGAAAGCAGGGGACCUUCGGGCCUUGCGCGAUUGGAUAUGCCCAGGUGGGAUUAGCUAGUUGGUGAGGUAAUGGCUCACCAAGGCGACGAUCCCUAGCUGGUCUGAGAGGAUGAUCAGCCACACUGGAACUGAGACACGGUCCAGACUCCUACGGGAGGCAGCAGUGGGGAAUAUUGCACAAUGGGGGAAACCCUGAUGCAGCCAUGCCGCGUGUGUGAAGAAGGCCUUCGGGUUGUAAAGCACUUUCAGCGAGGAGGAAAGGUCANUAGCUAAUAUCUGCUGGCUGUGACGUUACUCGCANAANAANCACCGGCUAACUCCGUGCCAGC
rnacentral:rRNA from 1 species